UACGUAGGCAGCAAGCGUUGUUCGGAGUUACUGGGCGUAAAGGGUGCGUAGGCGGUUCGUUAAGUCUGUUGUGAAAUCCCCGGGCCCAACCUGGGAAUGGCAAUGGAUACUGGCGAGCUAGAGUGUGAUAGAGGAUGGUGGAAUUCCCGGUGUAGCGGUGAAAUGCGUAGAGAUCGGGAGGAACAUCAGUGGCGAAGGCGGCCAUCUGGAUCAACACUGACGCUGAAGCACGAAAGCGUGGGGAGCAAACAGG
rnacentral:rRNA from 1 species